UGUUUUAUCAUCUCAAAUGUGGGAUUGACUGAUUCAUGUGAAAGACCCACCACACUGACUGACACAUAGAAAGCACUUAAUAAAUCUGUUGGAUGGGGACGGAGGUGAGUUCAUUCUCACCUAAACAGGACAAGGCCUGGUGUGUCUCAGGCCAUGCACUGUGACUGUGGGAUGAACCAGAAGCAUCAUAUCCCAUAGAAUGGCUGAGGCGUGAGCCAGAAAUGCCUUUCUGGAUUGCCUGCUGGUGUAUGACCAGACUGGGCAUGACUCAGACUUGAGGUUCCCUCAGGAAUGACACCCAUGUCACUGUCUGCAAUGUCUGUUUAAUACAAUGAUUUCUCAAACUCUGGUAUUGAGUCACAAUCAGCUGUACUGCCUUCCCAACGCACGUGGCUGAGCUUCACCCUGAUCUAUAGAUCUAGCACCUCUUGGGCAGGUGUGCAGAGGAUAUUCACAUUUUGUUCCUCUCUUUGCUGGAAUUAACCAUGCUGAGACUGGGCAAGAGGAGUGAGGGGAUGAAACUCUGUGGAGGUGGUUUGGCUGAACCUUUCUCUGAGAGCCUUCUCCAGCUCCCAGGGGGGAAGCUGCGUUAUCAAAGGUCAUAAGUCUUGCCCUAGGAGACUCUGCCAUUUGGAGAAUAAGGGGCCACAGAAGGAAGAGGGAAGAGCAUGGGGAUGGCUUCCAAUCAACCAGAUGCACGCCCUCAGGACCCUCUAGGGCAAGGUGCAAAGGUUCUGAGAAGAUGCGCUCUCCUUUCCCCCCUAACUCCAGGGAGAUGAACGGCCGCUGGGUACUGUGCUGAAGAGAAAAGACACCAACCCAUGAGCUUAAUUCCCAAGCCACUUCUUGACACCUAUUUAACAUUAAAAAUUAUAUUAACCUCUCUAAGAUUCAUUUUUUUAUCUACCAAAGAGAAAGAUAAUUUUUUACCUCACUGGUUGGUUAUAACAACUAGCAUAACUUAUAUGAAAGUGCUCUAUAAACUGUUUGUUUUUAGAAGACACAACUCCUGUUCCUCAUCAGAUAAUAAAAAUUUGAGGUGUGACUUGUUAUAUCUCGCAGCUCCUAACAUGAUGUAACACCCACAGCAGAUCUCAGAAUAUGUUACCAGCCAGCACUGAUAA